rnacentral:rRNA from 1 species
GGAUAAAGUGAACCUGCGGAGGGAUCAUUACACAAAUAUGAAGGCGGGCUGGAACCUCUCGGGGUUACAGCCUUGCUGAAUUAUUCACCCUUGUCUUUUGCGUACUUCUUGUUUCCUUGGUGGGUUCGCCCACCACUAGGACAAACAUAAACCUUUUGUAAUUGCAAUCAGCGUCAGUAACAAAUUAAUAAUUACAACUUUCAACAACGGAUCUCUUGGUUCUGGCAUCGAUGAAGAACGCAGCGAAAUGCGAUAAGUAGUGUGAAUUGCAGAAUUCAGUGAAUCAUCGAAUCUUUGAACGCACAUUGCGCCCUUUGGUAUUCCAAAGGGCAUGCCUGUUCGAGCGUCAUUUGUACCCUCAAGCUUUGCUUGGUGUUGGGCGUCUUGUCUCUAGCUUUGCUGGAGACUCGCCUUAAAGUAAUUGGCAGCCGGCCUACUGGUUUCGGAGCGCAGCACAAGUCGCACUCUCUAUCAGCAAAGGUCUAGCAUCCAUUAAGCCUUUUUUUCAACUUUUGACCUCGGAUCAGGUAGGGAUACCCGCUGAACUUAA